rnacentral:rRNA from 1 species
ACGAAGCAACGCCGCGUGGAGGAUGAAGGCCUUCGGGUCGUAAACUCCUGUCGACCGGGACGAAAGUAGCCUGACCCAAUACGUCGGGCUGUUGACUGUACCGGUGGAGGAAGCCACGGCUAACUCUGUGCCAGCAGCCGCGGUAAUACAGAGGUGGCAAGCGUUGUUCGGAAUUACUGGGCGUAAAGGGCGCGUAGGCGGCCUGGUCAGUCCCGUGUGAAAUCCCUCGGCUCAACUGAGGAACUGCACGGGAAACUGCCUGGCUUGAGUUCGGGAGAGGGAAGCGGAAUUCCGGGUGUAGCGGUGAAAUGCGUAGAUAUCCGGAGGAACACCGGUGGCGAAGGCGGCUUCCUGGACCGACACUGACGCUGAGGCGCGAAAGCUAGGGGAGCAAACGGGAUUAGAUACCCCGGUAGUCCUAGCUGUAAACGAUGAGUGCUGGGUGUAGGAGGUAUCAACCCCUCCUGUGCCGAAGCUAACGCAUUAAGCACUCCGCCUGGGGAGUACGGUCGCAAGGCUG